UAUUGGUCAAUAGCCUAACCGGCUGAACCAGCAACUUGGAGGAAUGGAUAGGGAAAGCCGGUAAAAGGCAAUGUACCUAGUAGUAUUAGAAAUGAAUAUGAGAUUAACGAAGUUAAUUAAAAUUCGAAGUAGAUAAAUGAUUAUGACAAUAUCUGCUGAUGUCUUGACCAAGUCACGUGCCAGCAGUCGCGGUAAUACGGAAGAUAAGCGUUAUUCAUCUUUAAUAGGUUUAAAGGGUACCUAGACAGUUAAUUAAGCAAUAAAUUGUACUAAUUUUAAACUAGAGUUUAAUGUAGGAAGGGUCAGUACGAUGCGGAGUAGAGAUAAAAUUCUUUGAUACUCAUGGGGACUGGUAAAGGCGAAGGCAA
rnacentral:rRNA from 1 species